AAGCAUCAAGAACAUCAUUCAGGAGACACUCUAGAGAUGAGCUCUUCUGCAGGCUUAGUGACGGUGAUACUCUUAGUGCUUGGACAAAUCUGUGGAGACCGAGUAACCCAGAUGGGCGGCCAAGUGACUCUUCCAGAAGGGGCUGAGCUGACCAUGAAUUGCACUUAUUCAGCCACCUGGUACCCCAUUCUCUUCUGGUAUGUUCAACAUCCCAGAGAAGGUCUACAUCUCCUCCUGAAAGCCACGAAGGAUGAGGAGAAGGGAAUCCACAAAGGCUUUGAAGCCACACACCACGGAGAAUCAAAAUCCUUCCACUUGGAGAAAGCCUCCGUCCAGGAGUCAGACUCGGCUGUGUACUACUGUGCUCUGAGUGAUACAGUGAAGGGAACUGCAAGGGGAGCUGAGCACAAACUCUGA